rnacentral:rRNA from 1 species
GCUUGACUGUAGCUUGUAAUUGAAUUCGGGCUUUUUUUGCGCAGCCUAGGUGGGAGGCAACGAUGAUUUUUUUCCGGAAAAUUUGAGCCGUUAGUGAGAGACCACUCUGAAAAGGCUAGAAUCCUAAUGAUGAUCCUUGAAUCAGGACAUUUGACAGUUGCAGGUGGGCAGUUUUACUGGGGCGGUAUUCUCCUAAAAAGUAACGGAGGGGUGCAAAGGUUCCCUCAGGCUGGACGGAAAUCAGCUUAAGAGUGUAAAGGCAAAAGGGAGCUUGACUGCAAGACCUACAAGUCGAGCAGGGGCGAAAGCCGGCCUUAGUGAUCCGACGGUACCACGUGGAAGGGCCGUCGCUCAACGGAUAAAAGUUA